rnacentral:rRNA from 1 species
GACGAACCGUCCAAACGUUAUUCGGAAUCACUGGGCCUACAGAGUUCGUAGGCGGUCUGGAAAGUUGGGUGUGAAAUCCCUCGGCUCAACCGAGGAACUGCGCUUGAAACUACCAGACUCGAGGGAGAUAGAGGAAAGCGGAACUGAUGGUGGAGCGGGGAAAUGCGUUGAUAUCAUCAGGAACACCGGUGGCGAAGGCGGCUUUCUGGGUCUUACCUGACGCUGAGGAACGAAAGCCAGGGGAGCGAACGGG